rnacentral:tRNA from 1 species
GCGGUAGUUCAGUUGGUUAGAAUGCCGGCCUGUCCACGCCGGAGGUCGCGGGUUCGAGUCCCGUCCGC